rnacentral:rRNA from 1 species
UACAGAGGGUGCAAGCGUUAAUCGGAAUUACUGGGCGUAAAGCGUGCGUAGACGGUUAUGUAAGUCAGGUGUGAAAGCCCAGGUCUCAACCUUGGAAUUGCAUUUGAGACUGCAUAGCUAGGGUGCGGAAGAGGGAAGCGGAAUUUCCGGUGUAGCGGUGAAAUGCGUAGAUAUCGGAAGGAACACCAGUGGCGAAAAGCGGCUUCCUGGUCCAGCACCGACGUUCAGGCACGAAAGCGUGGGGAGCAAACAGG